GUACGCUGGCGGCACGCCUAACACAUGCAAGUCGAACGAAGUAGCAAUACUUAGUGGCAGACGGGUGAGUAACAUGUAGGUAUCUACACUUUGGCCUGGAAUAACACGAGGAAACUUGUGCUAAUACUGGAUAAGUCUUUACGGAGAAAGCUUUAUGCACCAAUGGAUGAGCCUGCACUUGAUUAGUUUGUUGGUAGGGUAAUGGCCUACCAAGACUAUGAUCAAUAGCUGAUUUGAGAGGAUGAUCAGCCACAUUGGGACUGAGACACGGCCCAAACUCCUACGGGAGGCAGCAGUGGGGAAUCUUGCACAAUGGAGGAAACUCUGAUGCAGCGAUGCCGCGUGAGUGAAGAAGGCCUUUGGGUUGUAAAGCUCUUUCGUCGGGGAAGAAAAUGACUGUACCCGAAUAAGAAGGUCCGG
rnacentral:rRNA from 1 species